ACAGCAGGGCUAAUUACUGCAGCAGUGCAGGAGUUAAGAGAGCCCUGAGAGUUCAGGAGGGGGGUUGGUAGACACACGUGAGGUCUGCACGAGAGGAGUGUGUUUGGGAACUGCUCUCCUGACUGGGAGUUCAACAUUUUGCAAGGCUAGAUACAACCUCAGUCUUCUGCUGUCAGGGGAUUCCAGGAGUUAGACAGUUUUACAGCAACAGAUGGAGACCCACCGACUGGACUUUUCUGUGUUCUAUAUUUCAAGAGUCCAAUCGUUUAUUUUCUGAAAAGUGAAUUGCACAUCUGAGGAACAUGAAAAUGAUGGAGUAUAGCUAUUGUUUUCCCAAAAGGGCGAAACCAUGUCAAUAAUGAAAGACUACUUAUCCAGCAAAAUGAACUAACUAGAAGAGCCCAUUGAGCAUGAAGCAAAGUUUUUGCAUUCAGAUCCUGAGGGCUGAUGAUAAUUUCAGUAUUUCAGGUUCACCGAAAGUUUACCAGAGCUUUGAAGAUUUGUCUUUCCUGCACAUGAAGAAGUCCUGAAGUUUAAGCUGUAUAAUUAAAAAUGUGCAAAUGUGUUUCUAUAAUCUUCUCCGUAUAAAUUCCCUGGUGCUAUGUGAUAGAGGGAUGAUGUCAUCAAUCUUAUUAUUGCAUUCCUAAAUGCAGACAUAUCGUUCAUUAGCACUUUAUGACAUAACAUUAAAGGUAGGGCACGUUUAAAAUCUAUAUAAAUCAGUAUACAAUAUAGGGCAUACAUUUUCACAGAUAAAUUAGUAUUAUCUGUAUUUUUCAGCAUUUUUCCAUUCCAGUUUACAAAUAAUGACAUAAAAUAAAAAUGGAAU